ACGUAACAUACACAUGGAAACUGCAUUAUUUUAUAUGUGUCAGGUCUGCCCUUAUACAAUAGAUAAUAGUAUAUUGUAUUGACCAUAGAUUGUGUUUUACUCAUUUAUUUAUUUAUUCAUUUUUGUUUUGUUGGGUUUAGUAAAUGCUACAUUUUGGUUUUU